GACGAACGCUGGCGGCGUGCUUAACACAUGCAAGUCGAGCGGAAAGGCCUCUUCGGGGGUACUCGAGCGGCGAACGGGUGAGUAACACGUGAGUAAUCUGCCCCGGACUUUGGGAUAACCACCGGAAACGGUGAUUAAUACCGGAUAUGACCUGCUGCCGCAUGGUGGUGGGUGGAAAGUUUUUUCGGUUCGGGAUGUGCUCGCGGCCUAGCAGCUUGUUGGUGGGGUAAUGGCCUACCAAGGCUUUGACGGGUAGCCGGCCUGAGAGGGUGACCGGCCACACUGGGACUGAGACACGGCCCAGACUCCUACGGGAGGCAGCAGUGGGGAAUAUUGGACAAUGGGCGGAAGCCUGAUCCAGCAACGCCGCGUGAGGGAUGACGGCCUUCGGGUUGUAAACCUCUUUCAGCACCGACGAAGCUCCACUUUUUGGUGGUUUGACGGUAGGUGCAGAAGAAGGACCGGCCAACUACGUGCCAGCCGCCGCCGUAA
rnacentral:rRNA from 1 species